ACUGCAGGUAAUGUAUAUUUUCACAUGUUUUCCUUCUUUUUCUCCAGGAGCUGAGAGAAAUCCAUAACAAACAGCAGCUCCAGAAGCAGAAGAGCUUGGAAGCUGAGAGGUUGAAACAGAAGGAACAAGAAAGGAAGACAGUGGAGCUGGAAAAGCAAAAAGAAGCUCAGAGGCGAAUCCAGGAACGGGACAAACAGCGGCCGGAUCGGGGGCAGCCGGAGGAGGAACCCCAGUGGCAAAAAAAAAUUCAGGAAGAUGAAAAGCAAAAAAGGGAAGAAAUGCCUAAGAAGAAGGAAAGUGAGGAGAAGGGGAAGCAGGAAAUGCAAGAGAAGCUGAGUAAACUUUUCCAGCCCCACCAGGAGCCAGCCAAGCCAGGCCAGGCUCCCUGGUCCAAUGCAG